rnacentral:rRNA from 1 species
GACCCGAAAUAUGGUGAACUAUGCCUGAGCAGGGCGAAGUAAGGGAAAACUCUGGUGGAGGCCCGCAGCGAUGCUGACGUGCAAAUAGUUCGUCUGACUUAGGUAUAGGGGCAAAAGAUUAAUCGAACCAUCUAGUAGCUGG